UACGUAGGGUGCGAGCGUUAAUCGGAAUUACUGGGCGUAAAGUGUGCGCAGGCGGCCGCGCAAGUCGAGUGUGAAAGCCCCGAGCUUAACUUGGGAAUUGCGCUCGAAACUACGUGGCUGGAGUGUGGCAGAGGAAGGUGGAAUUCCAGGUGUAGCGGUGAAAUGCGUAGAGAUCUGGAGGAACACCGAUGGCGAAGGCAGCCUUCUGGGCCAACACUGAUGCUCAUGCACGAAAGCGUGGGGAUCAAACAGG
rnacentral:rRNA from 1 species